UGGAGAGAGAGCCUGGCUGCCGCGGCGGCCAUGCUGGUAACAGGAUGGCUGUACAACGCGGGCCACCCCGCUGGGGUGUCCCGCGCUGACCGUUGGCCAACCCUCUGGGUUGCCCAGCGCUCUUACCGUUGCCCGACUCUCCGAGUCGCGCAACGCUCGCGAGGAAAGUCCCCCCACCUGUUCGGGCAGGUGACCGGACGCAAGUCCGGAGCGGGAGACCGCUGGCUCUGGAACAGAAACGACACGUCUCGGCCUGACCGAUGAUGCGCGCGAACCCGACCGAGAGGAAGGGGAGCUGACCCGCAGAGGGAGGGCGACUCAGAGCGCCUCCGGCGCGAAAGUCACCUUAUGCGAGACGGCGUGAGCCGUCGAGCCCCGUGUGGUCGAUCGAUCGCGGUUCGAAACCGCGGGUUGCGCACGUCGUAACCGACCGCACGGAGACGGCCGAGGAUCGAUGGAACGGCGAACCCUCACCGGUGCAAGUCCGCGCCGUGGUAGCCCGAACACCGCGGCCUCGCCGCGACGGCGCGGACGCUCAGCCGAAUGCCGGGAUGAACAGAAGGGGGCUUACUCCUCUCACCG
rnacentral:RNase_P_RNA from 2 species